rnacentral:rRNA from 1 species
GACGAGCGCUGGCGGCGUGCUUAACACAUGCCAGUCGAACGGAAAGGCCUGCUUUCCCUUGUGGAUUGCGGGUACUCGAGUGGCGAACGGGUGAGUAACACGUGAGUGAUCUGCCCCCAACUUGGGUAUAAGCCUGGGAAACUGGGUCUAAUUCCCGAUAGGACUGCAGGGUGGUGCCUGUGGUGGAAAACGAUUUUCUAGUGGUUGGGGAUGAGCUCGCGGCCUAUCAGCUUGUUGGUGGGGUAAUGGCCUACCAAGGCGGCGACGGGUAGCCGGCCUGAGAGGGUGGACGGCCACAUUGGGACUGAGAUACGGCCCAGACUCCUACGGGAGGCAGCAGUGGGGAAUAUUACACAAUGGGCGGAAGCCUGAUGCAGCGACGCCGCGUGGGGGAUGACGGCCUUCGGGUGGUAAACUCCUUUCGACCGCGAGGAAGCCACCUGGUUGGAAGGGUGGUGACGGUAGUGGUAGAAGAAGCACCGGCUAACUACGUG